CCUACGGGUGGCAGCAGUGGGGAAUAUUGCACAAUGGGCGCAAGCCUGAUGCAGCCAUGCCGCGUGUGUGAAGAAGGCCUUCGGGUUGUAAAGCACUUUCAGCGGGGAGGAAGGCGUUAAGGUUAAUAACCUUGUCGAUUGACGUUACCCGCAGAAGAAGCACCGGCUAACUCCGUGCCAGCAGCCGCGGUAAUACGGAGGGUGCAAGCGUUAAUCGGAAUUACUGGGCGUAAAGCGCACGCAGGCGGUCUGUCAAGUCGGAUGUGAAAUCCCCGGGCUCAACCUGGGAACUGCAUUCGAAACUGGCAGGCUAGAGUCUUGUAGAGGGGGGUAGAAUUCCAGGUGUAGCGGUGAAAUGCGUAGAGAUCUGGAGGAAUACCGGUGGCGAAGGCGGCCCCCUGGACAAAGACUGACGCUCAGGUGCGAAAGCGUGGGGAGCAAACAGGAUUAGUACCCCGGUAGUC
rnacentral:rRNA from 1 species